rnacentral:lncRNA from 1 species
GAAAGGUUACAAUAUAAUUUAGAGAAACAUUGCUAAGGUGUUGUAAGUUGUAACAAUCAGUUUUCUCUAUUCAUAAAAAUGAUGUUACUAGAUACAAUCAUACAAUGGAUGCCAAAGAGUAUUCCUCACACAUUUUUUUUUUUUGGGAUUUGUGUAUCAAUGACCAUCAGUGCAUGGCGUAUACAAUGAUUGUCAAUAAGAACGGUACUUUAUCAUUAAAAUGCUUGACAUGGAGGAAAAAACUUAUAGCUAUUCAAAAUUCUUCAGAGGCAUGUCAAGAUUUGUACAUUUGACUCAUUGGAAUAUAUAUAUUGCUUUC